rnacentral:rRNA from 2 species
UGGGGAAUAUUGCGCAAUGGGCGAAAGCCUGACGCAGCAACGCCGUGUGAGGGAUGAAGGCUUUCGGGUCGUAAACCUCUGUCGGAAGGGAAGAACGGGCAUUGGUCUAAUAGGCCUUUGUUUUGACGGUACCUUUAGAGGAAGCACCGGCUAACUCCGUGCCAGCAGCCGCGGUAAUACGGAGGGUGCAAGCGUUAUUCGGAAUUACUGGGCGUAAAGCGCACGUAGGCGGCCUUGUAAGUCAGGGGUGAAAUCCCACGGCUCAACCGUGGAACUGCCUUUGAAACUGCAGGGCUUGAAUCCUGGAGAGGGUGGCGGAAUUCCUGGUGUAGGAGUGAAAUCCGUAGAUAUCAGGAGGAACACCGGUGGCGAAGGCGGCCACCUGGACAGGUAUUGACGCUGAGGUGCGAAAGUGUGGGGAGCAAACAGG